rnacentral:rRNA from 1 species
GAUGAACGCUGGCGGCGUGCCUAAUACAUGCAAGUCGAGCGAACGGACGAGGAGCUUGCUUCUCUGACGUUAGCGGCGGACGGGUGAGUAACACGUGGAUAACCUACCUAUAAGACUGGGAUAACUUCGGGACACCGGAGCUAAUACCGGAUAAUAUUUUGAACCGCAUGGUUCAAUAGUGAAAGACGGUCUUGCUGUCACUUAUAGAUGGAUCCGCGCUGCAUUAGCUAGUUGGUAAGGUAACGGCUUACCAAGGCAACGAUGCAUAGCCGACCUGAGAGGGUGAUCGGCCACACUGGAACUGAGACACGGUCCAGACUCCUACGGGAGGCAGCAGUAGGGAAUCUUCCGCAAUGGGCGAAAGCCUGACGGAGCAACGCCGCGUGAGUGAUGAAGGUCUUCGGAUCGUAAAACUCUGUUAUUAGGGAAGAACAUAUGUGUAAGUAACUGUGCACAUCUUGACGGUACCUAAUCAGAAAGCCACGGCUAACUACGUG